ensembl:lncRNA
GAAUGCCUCCUCUCCCUUUUUCCAAACCCAAUUAUUUCCUCCCUUUGGAGUUACGGUCCUUACAAUGGAGCUGGGAAGGCGCAUGGGCACCUGCAUCCAGAUGGAAGAGCCGACCUCUCCAACUGACCUCCCCAGCACAGGCAGCUGCAGGGCCCACAGCUGAGCCGCAGGGACAGGGCUGAUUCUGAGGAAGGGGCUCCAUGCAGUCCAUGCAGCACCUCAGGGCAGUGGUCACUCUCAGAGCUGUGCAGCCCCAUCCCCACGUCCUCCCAUGGUGCAUUUCAGACAUACAUGCAGCCUCUCGGGAGAGCCAGCAGUGGGCUUCUCCUCUGGGCUGCCCUGCCUGAAGCAUCCGAAGCUCAUUUGUCUUGCAGCUGAAGUAUGUUUUUUUUUCCUUCUGAGAUGUGAACAAUUUCUGUGGAUCCAUCUGGAUGCUAUUAGGAAAACGUUCCGGGUGCAUGGAGGCUGCUGGCAGCUCCUCACUCGCUUCCUCUGUCCCGGGCGCGCGAGGCAGGGAGUGAUGCACACGAGGGGCUGGGGGUGUGGGUGAGGGUGCUGGCAUGUGAAGGGCAGCAGUCGGGUGGUGUGGAUGGGUGCUGAGCUCCCAGGACAUGCCCAGCACUGUGGGGCCACCCAGGGAUCGACCUAAGUAACAAAUGUGCAGACGAGAAGGGGAGCACAGGGCAGGAACCCGAUGAUGCCCAUCUCUUGCCCUCCCCAUGCUGCUCCUCCCCGGGGCCCUCCAGGCACACCAACCCCCCGGCACAGCCAGCACCAUCCUCCCCUGCCCACCUGGGGACACAGAGGGAUGUGGAGCAAUCUGCACUUCUGCAAGGACUCCUCAGUGCUGAGUUUAAAUUCAUGCUGCUGCUCCUCAGCAGCCCCCUCCCACUUGCUCCCCUCUCUCUUCACUUCUUUAGUUCAGCCCUUUCUCCUUCUUCUGUGCAGUGAUUUGCAGCAGUCCCAGUCUGCUUGUACAACAGCACAGUUCCCUCGGGCCUCAGCUGACAGCUUCCACGGCUUUGGUGCCAGGUCCUGAUGACCACAUGAUUCCCGAGGGCAGGAACCAGCCCUUCCAAAUGGCGACUGCAAUUUCCAGUUGGUCACAUGUAUUGAAGUCACACCUUGAAUGCAGGAUGAAGAAAAGAGGAAGGAAUGGCGAAGGCACGGCCAUGCGAUGUUAAGGGGUGAGCUCCUCGUGCUGCUGGGCGUUUGUUUUUCAGAGAAUACAGCCUCAAGCUCAGGCCCAAACUCUCCUCUCCAAGAGCACUCCCAAAGCAAAGCCAGAUGCAAUGCAGUGGCACCUCAGUGCAGGCACUGCUCACCCAGGCAGACCCAUCUUCAUGUGGCAGUUCAGUUUUCCUCAUCCAGGUCCCUCCGAGUACCUGGCGGCACUCUGGGAGCAAGUGGGGGAGUCCAGAGAUGGGCCUCCAUGCUGGGUGCCUUUCACUGAGAACAGAGCUCCCGUGAAGUGCUCUCCGGGGACAGCCCAACCCAGCAGCACACAGGGGCGUUGCUCAGAUGUCAUUGAACCCAUUGGGAACCUCCUUCUGUCUCUCCAGUGCCAUCUCCCUGUGUCCAGCAGCCCCAGACAAAGCUGGCGUUUCCCUGCAGCUCUGACAAAAAUGCCAUGGGGGGCCUGGUGGAAAGCUGCAAUGGGGCAAAUGUGCCAACGAGCAUCAAAAGGGCUAAGAAAAGAAAAAGAGGCAAACCAUUUCUUCCUGCCCACAAUUUAGUUGUCCCCCAUGGUCAUGCUCUAUACGGUUUGUCCUGAAGUACGUUGAAGUGCAACUUUCUAGGCUUUUCUGUCCUGCUGGGGCAAACCCCACGCAUGUGGGAUGGCACAGAGUCUGAUCUCAGCCCCUGCUGCUGUUAUUGCAGCUCUGCAGUGGUUCUGUGGGGCUUUGAGGUUGGGGUUUCCCCUUUUGGUUGGUUUGUUGGAUUAGAUUUUUUUAGCUAAACCUGCUCUCUUAACACUCACAGUCUUCCAUCUUAUCAAAAACUCAGAAAUCAAAACAAAGUCCUGCUCUGAUGGAGGUGAGAGGAUCAGAGUGGACCCCCCAGGCAGAUGCUGGGGCGUGCACACAGAGCCGUGAUGCCUGUCCUGUGCCAUGUGGUGCACUGCUCCUCUCACUAUUCCCUCAGUUUCACACACCUUGAGGCAGAGCACUUACCCAGCCCAGGCAGAGGAGCUUUCUACCCACUGGCUUCUGUGCCCGUGCUCUGCAGCACAGCAGUGGGACACGUAGGAGAAGCAGACAGCAGCAUGUGGGACCCCAGGCAGAACUCCGGAGAAAAGUGGGACUGGCACAGCUGUAGGAUGGACACAGAAGCCCAUGCAAAACAGAGAAGUUCCCCAGUCCUGGUCACAGGAGGAGGAAGGGUAAAACACAGCUCUGAAAUACUCCCACCUCGCAGAGGUACCUUGGGACCAUGGUACUGCCAGCUGCGUUCCUUUUUUCCUCUCCUCUCUACCAGCCCUGGGUUGAACAUUAGUACAGGAGUGCUUCCCAUAAGCAGCCAACUUCGUGGAAGCUCAGCGAGUCGGCAGCACGGUCAUUUCCCAGAAGGACCCACGUGGCUGCGUGUCCCUGCCUGUCACUGUGCGGUCACGGCAGGGCGAUGCGCAGCCCCCAGUACCCUGCCUGCUGCCCCCCAGCAGUGCCAGGACACUCAGCCCCGGGCUGGAGCUCAGCCACCGCCAUCCCCUGCUGGGGGAUCAAGAACGAG